GCCUUCAUGGUGUAGUGGUCAGCACACUCGGCGCGUAUUCGCGAGGUCUGUGGUUCGAGUCCCGGCGAAGGCA
rnacentral:tRNA from 1 species